AGUGAACGCUGGCGGUAGGCCUAACACAUGCAAGUCGAACGGCAGCACAGUAAGAGCUUGCUCUUACGGGUGGCGAGUGGCGGGCGGGUGAGGAAUACAUCGGAAUCUACUUUUUCGUGGGGGAUAACGUAGGGAAACUUACGCUAUACCGCAUACGACCUACGGGUGGAAGCAGGGGAUCUUCGGACCUUGCGCGAUUGAAUGAGCCGAUGUCGGAUUAGCUAGUUGGCGGGGUAAAGGCCCACCAAGGCGACGAUCCGUAGCUGGUCUGAGAGGAUGAUCAGCCACACUGGAACUGAGACACGGUCCAGACUCCUACGGGAGGCAGCAGUGGGGAAUAUUGGACAAUGGGCGCAAGCCUGAUCCAGCCAUACCGCGUGGGUGAAGAAGGCCUUCGGGUUGUAAAGCCCUUUUGUUGGGAAAGAAAAGCAGCAGGUUAAUACCCCGCUGUUCUGACGGUACCCAAAGAAUAAGCACCGGCUAACUUCGUG
rnacentral:rRNA from 1 species